rnacentral:rRNA from 1 species
AGUGAACGCUGGCGGCAGGCCUAACACAUGCAAGUCGAACGGCAGCACAAGAGAGCUUGCUCUCUGGGUGGCGAGUGGCUGACGGGUGAGGAAUGCAUCGGAAUCUGCCCAUUUGUGGGGGAUAACCUCGGGAAACCGGGACUAAUACCGCAUACGACCUACGGGUGAAAGCAGGGGAUCUUCGGACCUUGCGCAGAUGGAUGAGCCGAUGCCGGAUUAGCUAGUUGGAGGGGUAAAGGCCCACCAAGGCGACGAUCCGUAGCUGGUCUGAGAGGAUGAUCAGCCACACUGGGACUGAGACACGGCCCAGACUCCUACGGGAGGCAGCAGUGGGGAAUAUUGGACAAAGGGCGCAAGCCUGAUCCAGCCAUGCCGCGUGUGUGAAGAAGGCCUUCGGGUUGUAAAGCACUUUUGUUGGGAAAGAAAAGCAGCCGGUUAAUACCCGGUUGUCAUGACGGUACCCAAAGAAUAAGCACCGGCUAACUUCGUG